rfam:Erinaceus europaeus cont1.534929, whole genome shotgun sequence.
UGGGCAGACAUGCUCCAUGGCUUUCAGAAUAAGGUCCUUUGUGCGCACUCAGACCCUUACAAAUACAAAAUCGCCUUCAUCUUGGAUGCCCGGUGCUUCUGG